AUUUGAGCUGCUUUCUGAAUGUUGGAGAAGUGCCUGACUUGCCUGGCUCAGCAAGGAGUUGGAUGAUGGUGUUGUGAAGCUUGCAGCUGUCUAUGAAAAAGCUAACUAAUAGCAGAGAAGCGAAUCUUCCAUUUUGUUCUGCAGGAUUUAACAAGCACAGUCACCUCUGUAUGUGCUGAAAUCCGCAAAAGCGUGUUAAAAAUAAUGAAGAAAUACUUGGAUGAACCAAAAAGGCAUCACUGUACCACUCCCAGGAGCUAUUUGAAGUUCACAGGCACCUUUUCAAGACUGCUACAGAUAACAAGAAAGAAAACUCUGCGAACAGGUAAAAAAGGAUUGUUUUCAUGAUGGCCUGUAGAAA
rnacentral:lncRNA from 1 species